AUGAGUAUAUAGUUCCGAAGAAUGACUAUCAAAAUGGUGUACAGAUGAAGCAUAUGGAUUGUAGCAAAAGAGUUCGACUGUGUGGUGUCUAUUAAUCAACGAGACCAGCAGUUAUGUCAUUCUCCAUCUGCUACAGGGGAAGGCUUCAGUCAAGUUAUGACUGAAUCUGUGUAUGAAUCAACAUUCUGAAACAUUGGAACUGCUGCCAAAACAAUGGAUCUGCUGCCGGCAAAAGAUCAGCCUCGUCACUAAAAGCAGUACCAGAAGACUUCACACCUCUUGCUGAUAUGAAGGGGAAAACUAUCCCUCAAAAUCACCUGCAAAAUGAGGAAGCCAAGAGAAGGAAAGGAAUGUGGCAUAACUCUGCAGGGUGAUCGUGCUUGUUAUAUGUGUGGUUCUCCUGAUCUUUUCAGUAGAGACUGUCCAGUUUCUUCCAAUCAGUAUUCAAUGCUUCAGACAGGGGAUGCUGUUUACCAAGGAGGUAUGCCAGCUUAUGGACCACCUCCUUAUUGGAAUGGCCUCCAAUUUAGACCCUUUCCAAAUGUUUAUGCGACUCCUGGCAUGAUGCCCUAUGGUUCCAAUAUGGGCCCAGUAAAUCCUUAUGCAGUUCAUUCAUAUAUGCCGUCAAUGUUUGCUGGCAUGCAA